UACGUAGGGUGCAAGCGUUGUCCGGAAUUAUUGGGCGUAAAGGGCGCGUAGGCGGCCCCGUAAGUCUUGGGUGAAAGCCCCCGGCUCAACUGGGGAGGGUCACGCGAUACUGAUCGACUGGAAGGCAGGAGAGGGUAGUGGAAUUCCCGGUGUAGUGGUGAAAUGCGUAGAUAUCGGGAGGAACACCAGUGGCGAAGGCGACUACCUGGCCUGUUCUUGACGCUGAGGCGCGAAAGCUAGGGGAGCAAACGGG
rnacentral:rRNA from 1 species